UACGGGGGGCAAGCGUUGUUCGGAAUUACUGGGCGUAAAGGGCUCGUAGGCGGCCAACUAAGUCAGACGUGAAAUCCCUCGGCUUAACCGGGGAACUGCGUCUGAUACUGGAUGGCUUGAGGUUGGGAGAGGGAUGCGGAAUUCCAGGUGUAGCGGUGAAAUGCGUAGAUAUCUGGAGGAACACCGGUGGCGAAGGCGGCAUCCUGGACCAAU
rnacentral:rRNA from 1 species